rnacentral:rRNA from 1 species
UGAGGAAUAUUGGUCAAUGGACGAGAGUCUGAACCAGCCAUGUAGCGUGCAGGAUGACGGCCCUAUGGGUUGUAAACUGCUUUUGUUUGGGAAUAAUCGACAUUACGUGUAAUGUUUUGCAUGUACCAUUCGAAUAAGGACCGGCUAAUUCCGUGCCAGCAGCCGCGGUAAUACGGAAGGUCCAGGCGUUAUCCGGAUUUAUUGGGUUUAAAGGGUGUGUAGGCGGUUGGUUAAGCGUGUUGUGAAAUGUAGAUGCUCAACAUCUGACUUGCAGCGCGAACUGGCUGACUUGAGUACACACAACGUAGGCGGAAUUCAUGGUGUAGCGGUGAAAUGCUUAGAUAUCAUGAAGAACUCCGAUUGCGAAGGCAGCUUACGGGAGUGUUACUGACGCUUAAGCUCGAAGGUGCGGGUAUCGAACAGG